UACGGAGGGUGCGAGCGUUGUCCGGAAUCACUGGGCGUAAAGAGCGCGCAGGCGGUCGUAUAAGUCGAAUGUGAAAGCCCCCGGCUCAACUGGGGAGGGUCAUUCGAUACUGUUCGACUCGAAGGCAGGAGAGGGAAGUGGAAUUCCGGGUGUAGUGGUGAAAUGCGUAGAUAUCCGGAGGAACACCAGUGGCGAAGGCGACUUUCUGGCCUGUUCUUGACGCUGAGGCGCGAAAGCUAGGGGAGCAAACGGG
rnacentral:rRNA from 1 species